AACGAACGCUGGCGGCAUGCUUUACACAUGCAAGUCGAACGGCAGCACGGACUUCGGUCUGGUGGCGAGUGGCGAACGGGUGAGUAAUGUAUCGGAACGUGCCCAGUCGUGGGGGAUAACGUAGUGAAAAUUACGCUAAUACCGCAUACGAUCUAUGGAUGAAAGCGGGGGAUCGCAAGACCUCGCGCGAUUGGAGCGGCCGAUAUCAGAUUAGGUAGUUGGUGGGGUAAAGGCCCACCAAGCCAACGAUCUGUAGCUGGUCUGAGAGGACGAGCAGCCACACUGGAACUGAGACACGGUCCAGACUCCUACGGGAGGCAGCAGUGGGGAAUUUUGGACAAUGGGCGAAAGCCUGAUCCAGCCAUUCCGCGUGCAGGAUGAAGGCCCUCGGGUUGUAAACUGCUUUUGUACAGAACGAAAAGGUUUCUACUAAUACUAGGAGCUCAUGACGGUACUGUAAGAAUAAGCACCGGCUAACUACGUGCCAGCCGCCGCGGUAA
rnacentral:rRNA from 1 species